AAUUAAGUUCCAUAUAUAUAUAUAUAUAGAAUUGAGCUCCUAUACUUUUAAAAGUACCAACCCGUUGGUGCUUAUAAGUUUUCGGCCCUUGGAUUAAGGAAUGUGCAGUUAGGAUGAUAUGGGCCCCCUAUGGGCCCCCUAGGGUUGAGUGGGUGGUUGGUUGAAUAGUAUAAUCUAACGGAUAAAAAUGAUCAAAGGUAAAGAUCUAAUGGUAAAAAAAUUACAAGCACCAAGUGCUUGGUGCUUUUACAAGCAUCAUAGCCGGACUCAUAUAUAUAUAUAGUAGCAUAAUUAUAUAUAUAUGAAUUGAGCUAGAAUACUUUUAGAAGCAUCAAUCCACCAAUCUCUUGGUGUUUCUAAAUUUCUAACCCUUAGAUUUACUCCUUAAUUACUAAUACUGCUUAGAUCAAACACUAUUCCACCUACCAUCACCUAUCACAAUCAUCUCAACCCUACAUCUCUCCAUCCAACAGCUCAUAUAUAUAUAUAUAUGCCCCAGAAGUGAAUUUGUAUCUUACUCAGAGUAAUACUUCCAA
rnacentral:lncRNA from 1 species